rnacentral:misc_RNA from 1 species
CCAAUAGCGUAUAUUAAAGUUGUUGCAGUUAAAAAGCUCGUAGUUGAACUUCGGGGUCUACCCAUUGGUCAGGCUUAAUUGUCUGCACUGGUGAGAUGGAUCUCUACCUUCUGAGGAACUUUCAUGCCAUUUAUUUGGUGUGAUUGGAAAUCAGGACUGUUACUUUGAAAAAAUUAGAGUGUUUAAAGCAGACUAUCGUCUGAAUACAUUAGCAUGGAAUAAUGAAAUAGGACGGACUGAUUCUAUUUCGUUGGUUUCUAGGAUCACCGUAAUGAUUAAUAGGGAUAGUUGGGGGCAUUAGUAUUCAAUUGUCAGAGGUGAAAUUCUUGGAUUUAUUGAAGACUAACUACUGCGAAAGCAUUUGCCAAGGAUGUUUUCAUUAAUCAAGAACGAAAGUUAGGGGAUCGAAGACGAUCAGAUACCGUCGUAGUCUUAACCAUAAACUAUGCCGACUAGGGAUCGGGCGAUGUUGUUUCAAUGACUCGCUCGGCACCUUAUG